rnacentral:ncRNA from 3 species
CUAUAACUGUCGACUAUAGGGCAGUUAAUAAAUUUGGCUAUAUGCUGGAACAACUCAUGUAUCCGACAGUACUCGAAAGAGUGAAAAUCUGUUCGGUGGAGUCAAUCAGCAGGAAAGAUUUCAACUUCAGUUGAAAAAUCCUCAGAGACUAUACGCCAAACGCAGAUUUAAGUCUGUGAUGAUAUAGUCCGAACUUUAUGGCGACAUAAAG